rnacentral:rRNA from 1 species
GACGAACGCUGGCGGCGUGCCUAAUACAUGCAAGUCGAACGAACUCUGGUAUUGAUUGGUGCUUGCAUCAUGAUUUACAUUUGAGUGAGUGGCGAACUGGUGAGUAACACGUGGGAAACCUGCCCAGAAGCGGGGGAUAACACCUGGAAACAGAUGCUAAUACCGCAUAACAACUUGGACCGCAUGGUCCGAGUUUGAAAGAUGGCUUCGGCUAUCACUUUUGGAUGGUCCCGCGGCGUAUUAGCUAGAUGGUGAGGUAACGGCCUACCAUGGCAAUGAUACGUAGCCGACCUGAGAGGGUAAUCGGCCACAUUGGGACUGAGACACGGCCCAAACUCCUACGGGAGGCAGCAGUAGGGAAUCUUCCACAAUGGACGAAAGUCUGAUGGAGCAACGCCGCGUGAGUGAAGAAGGGUUUCGGCUCGUAAAACUCUGUUGUUAAAGAAGAACAUAUCUGAGAGUAACUGUUCAGGUAUUGACGGUAUUUAACCAGAAAGCCACGGCUAACUACGUGCCAGCAGCCGCGGUAAUACGUAGGUGGCAAGCGUUGUCCGGAUUUAUUGGGCGUAAAGCGAGCGCAGGCGGUUUUUUAAGUCUGAUGUGAAAGCCUUCGGCUCAACCGAAGAAGUGCAUCGGAAACUGGGGAACUUGAGUGCAGAAGAGGACAGUGGAACUCCAUGUGUAGCGGUGAAAUGCGUAGAUACAUGGAAGAACACCAGUGGCGAAGGCGGCUGUCUGGUCUGUAACUGACGCUGAGGCUCGAAAGUAUGGGUAGCAAACAGGAUUAGAUACCCUGGUAGUCCAUACCGUAAACGAUGAAUGCUAAGUGUUGGAGGGUUUCCGCCCUUCAGUGCUGCAGCUAACGCAUUAAGCAUUCCGCCUGGGGAGUACGGCCGCAAGGCUGAAACUCAAAGGAAUUGACGGGGGCCCGCACAAGCGGUGGAGCAUGUGGUUUAAUUCGAAGCUACGCGAAGAACCUUACCAGGUCUUGACAUACUAUGCAAAUCUAAGAGAUUAGACGUUCCCUUCGGGGACAUGGAUACAGGUGGUGCAUGGUUGUCGUCAGCUCGUGUCGUGAGAUGUUGGGUUAAGUCCCGCAACGAGCGCAACCCUUAUUAUCAGUUGCCAGCAUUAAGUUGGGCACUCUGGUGAGACUGCCGGUGACAAACCGGAGGAAGGUGGGGAUGACGUCAAAUCAUCAUGCCCCUUAUGACCUGGGCUACACACGUGCUACAAUGGAUGGUACAACGAGUUGCGAACUCGCGAGAGUAAGCUAAUCUCUUAAAGCCAUUCUCAGUUCGGAUUGUAGGCUGCAACUCGCCUACAUGAAGUCGGAAUCGCUAGUAAUCGCGGAUCAGCAUGCCGCGGUGAAUACGUUCCCGGGCCUUGUACACACCGCCCGUCACACCAUGAGAGUUUGUAACACCCAAAGUCGGUGGGGUAACCUUUUAGGAACCAGCCGCCUAAGGUGGGACAGAUGAUUAGGGUG